GACGAACGCUGGCGGCGUGCCUAACACAUGCAAGUCGAACGGGGUAGAGGCCUUCGGGCUUCUGCUUAGUGGCGAACGGGUGAGUAACGCGUGAGAAACCUGCCUUUCAGUGGGGGACAACAGUUGGAAACGACCGCUAAUACCGCAUAAUGUAUUCGGGGGGCAUCCCCUGAAUACCAAAGCUUUAUGUGCUGAAAGAUGGUCUCGCGUCGGAUUAGCUAGAUGGCGGGGUAACGGCCCACCAUGGCGACGAUCAGUAGCCGGUCUGAGAGGAUGAACGGCCAAAUUGGGACUGAGAUACGGCCCAGACUCCUACGGGAGGCAGCAGUGGGGAAUAUUGGGCAAUGGGGGAAACCCUGACCCAGCAACGCCGCGUGAAGGAAGAAGGCCUUCGGGUUGUAAACUUCUUUUAGCAGGGACGAAGAACGUGACGGUACCUGCAGAAAAAGCAACGGCUAACUACGUGCCAGCCGCCGCCGUAAUAC
rnacentral:rRNA from 1 species